AAAACAUGUCUCUAUGGGUUAGAUAUAGAGUCUGACCUGCCCACUGAGGAGUGAUCUUGAAGGGCUGCGGAAUCUUAACCGUGCGAAGGUAGCAUAGUCAUUAGUCUUUUAAUUGGAGGCUGGAAUGAACGGUUGGACAAGAAAUUAACUGUUUCUGUGAUGGUUAUUGAAUUUUACUUUUAAGUGAAAAGGCUUAAAUGUAUUUAGGGGACGAUAAGACCCUAUAAAAUUUACACAAGUUAGUUUGAUGAACAAAGUAAGGUCUAACGGUAGUUGAGCGAUAAUUGUUUUGUUGGGGCGACAGAGAUAUAAGUGUUUAAAGUAGCUGUCUUUAUAUAUAGAAUAAAUUUAUUUAGGUGAUGUGAUCCUUUACUGAAGAUUAGAAGAUUAAAUUACUUUAGGGAUAACAGCGUAAUUGUUCUUGAGAGUCCUUAUCGACAGAGUUAGUUGCGACCUCGAUGUUGAAUUAAAGUUUCCUUCAAAUGCAGAAGUUUGUUUGGUAGGUCUGUUCGACCUUAAAACUUACAUGAUUUGAGUUCAAACCGGUGAGAGCCAGGUGUUUUUUCAUCUAAA
rnacentral:rRNA from 1 species